AUGUAUGUACACUCGUGGCCACGCAAACCUUACCACUUAAUUUUUCAAGUAUUGUGCGUAUUUGACUAUAUUUUAUAGCGGUACUUUUUGCGGUAUAGAAAUUUUUUAUUUGGAAAUAACUUUACAAAAUGAGCUCGAAAUGUAAGAGACUGAUAUGCGAUGAAAAAAUGAUAUUUUUUUUUUUAUUUUUUUUUAUUUAUUUUUUUUUUUUUUUUUUUUUAUUUUUUUUUUUUAUUUUUU